AAUUGACGGUACGAAACUCAAUCAAAGAGACCGAGGAGAAGUUGCUAAACUCGUUCCUUAUACAUAAAAAAGGAAAUAAUCUUUCCUUACAACUUCAAGUGAGUCUUGUCGUCUUCUCUCUAAACUCGGUUUCGCUCACUCGAGGUUAAUUAAGUAAUGUAACUGAUGAGUUAUAUAUGCGUGCGCAGAGACCACUUUAUUCUGUUAUCCAUUGACAUUGGCAGGGCACUAGUAAAUGUCUUAGACUCGAGACGUAAAGUCGAAGAGGAUUAUGAGGACAUUAAUGCAAUGCUCAAGAAGUAAGUUCAGUCAAUAUACCGAGACCAUAUCGGCAUGCAACUUUCGUUAAUUUCCUGAUAUCAAGUAAUCAUUUUCUUUGCCUCGCAGGGUUUGGACGAAGUUCGCCAAUAAGGUUCUCGGUCUAAACAAAGAGUUGUAAUUUACGCACCCCAAAGUAAGUAGUACUAGCUAGUUCCACGCAUCUCUAAUUGGUUCAAAUUUUCAUCAAUAUAUCAUUACCAUGCUUGCUUAUCAGUUUGAUUGAACUCUAUUAUCGUAAAGUGUAUGUACCAGAAAGAAGACACUGUUUUAUGUGCAUACUACAUAUGCGAGUUCAUUCGCCACUCGACCUCUCACCGGGUCUUCUCCGAGAAACAAUUGCAAGUACGUAAAUAAUAUUCACAAUUGUGUUGAGUUUUAUUCAUAUAUAUGCAUGUAUUGACCCCCUUCUUUAAAUUAGAUAUGCGAGAUGCGGGAUCAAUUCCUACCAUAUGAUCGCAUACGAGCAACUCAAGAGGAAUUGGCGAGAUUCUUUGUUGACCACGUCAUACCUAAACACGGAGAAUGCCAUGUGGAUUUGUCAUUGGAUCUUAAUUAGAUGAUGUUUUGGAUUAAUUGUAAAAGAUGUUAUAUUAUAUAUAUGUAAUAGCGUCGGA
rnacentral:lncRNA from 1 species